rnacentral:rRNA from 1 species
UGGCUCAGAUUGAACGCUGGCGGCAGGCCUAACACAUGCAAGUCGAGCGGUAGCACAGAGAGCUUGCUCUCGGGUGACGAGCGGCGGACGGGUGAGUAAUGUCUGGGAAACUGCCUGAUGGAGGGGGAUAACUACUGGAAACGGUAGCUAAUACCGCAUAACGUCGCAAGACCAAAGUGGGGGACCUUCGGGCCUCAUGCCAUCAGAUGUGCCCAGAUGGGAUUAGCUAGUAGGUGGGGUAACGGCUCACCUAGGCGACGAUCCCUAGCUGGUCUGAGAGGAUGACCAGCCACACUGGAACUGAGACACGGUCCAGACUCCUACGGGAGGCAGCAGUGGGGAAUAUUGCACAAUGGGCGCAAGCCUGAUGCAGCCAUGCCGCGUGUGUGAAGAAGGCCUUCGGGUUGUAAAGCACUUUCAGCGGGGAGGAAGGCGAUAAGGUUAAUAACCUUGKCGAUUGACGUUACCCGCAGAAGAAGCACCGGCUAACUCCGUGCCAGCAGCCGCGGUAAUACGGAGGGUGCAAGCGUUAAUCGGAAUUACUGGGCGUAAAGCGCACGCAGGCGGUCUGUCAAGUCGGAUGUGAAAUCCCCGGGCUCAACCUGGGAACUGCAUUCGAAACUGGCAGGCUAGAGUCUUGUAGAGGGGGGUAGAAUUCCAGGUGUAGCGGUGAAAUGCGUAGAGAUCUGGAGGAAUACCGGUGGCGAAGGCGGCCCCCUGGACAAAGACUGACGCUCAGGUGCGAAAGCGUGGGGAGCAAACAGGAUUAGAUACCCUGGUAGUCCACGCCGUAAACGAUGUCGAUUUGGAGGUUGUGCCCUUGAGGCGUGGCUUCCGGAGCUAACGCGUUAAAUCGACCGCCUGGGGAGUACGGCCGCAAGGUUAAAACUCAAAUGAAUUGACGGGGGCCCGCACAAGCGGUGGAGCAUGUGGUUUAAUUCGAUGCAACGCGAAGAACCUUACCUGGUCUUGACAUCCACAGAACUUUCCAGAGAUGGWUUGGUGCCUUCGGGAACUGUGAGACAGGUGCUGCAUGGCUGUCGUCAGCUCGUGUUGUGAAAUGUUGGGUUAAGUCCCGCAACGAGCGCAACCCUUAUCCUUUGUUGCCAGCGGUUMGGCCGGGAACUCAAAGGAGACUGCCAGUGAUAAACUGGAGGAAGGUGGGGAUGACGUCAAGUCAUCAUGGCCCUUACGACCAGGGCUACACACGUGCUACAAUGGCAUAUACAAAGAGAAGCGACCUCGCGAGAGCAAGCGGACCUCAUAAAGUAUGUCGUAGUCCGGAUUGGAGUCUGCAACUCGACUCCAUGAAGUCGGAAUCGCUAGUAAUCGUAGAUCAGAAUGCUACGGUGAAUACGUUCCCGGGCCUUGUACACACCGCCCGUCACACCAUGGGAGUGGGUUGCAAAAGAAGUAGGUAGCUUAACCUUCGGGAGGGCGCUA